rnacentral:lncRNA from 1 species
UCAGGCUCAAAGGGGGCUCCGGCGCUCGGGGGCAGAAGCGGAGAACUGGCCUGCCGAUCUUCCUCACGAGGAGGUGAGGGGGGAGGCGUGGGAACUCAGAGGCUGUGUGACAGAAGAGAGUGGCUCCCCUCUCCUCAGAGCCUCCCUCACCACAUUUAGCAGCGUCUGCAAGAAACGGAGGAAGGCGUCUGGGUUGGUGGGCUCCGUAGCCUUUGGCCUUCCCGCCCUGUCCAACGAGCAGGACCUGAAGCCAGGUGGCUGGAACGAGAGUGCCAGCGUCAGAAGAACUAAAGAUGCAUCUACCUCUGCCGUAAGCCCAGCAAUGAGGCCACGGAGAGGAGAGACUGGGCUGCAGGCGCACCUGACACCACUGAGCCAUGAGCCAAAUCGGGGCGACAACAAGAGGAUGUGGCACCAGGCCACCACUGGGGGACGUCGGAAAGAUGGGGUCCAGGCUCGCAAAGCUUAGAAAUUGCUGAGCUCCCAACAGACCCCUGGGGGCUUGUUGGGGUUUCCACUUCUCCACACCAAACCCACGGUCAACAUCUGCACCAGGCAAUGACCUCCUGAAAGAAAGCAAGCAAGCCCCUGUCCCAUCCCUCCAGCCAACCCCCGCCACCACCACCACACAGGGGAAAUGCACAGAGAGGGAGGGUGUGCGAGCAAACAGACCACGCCUUCCUCCUCUCCAAGCCUCGGCUCCAGGGACACGGCCAGGGCUGGGAGGAGGCAAGGAGCUCUGAAUGGACUCUGAAGUUGAAGUUGAAAUUGCAAAAUGAAUGAGAGUAAGUUCCAAUAACCAGGAGACUGUUGCAAUAAGCAGAAGUGAGUGCAAAAUUAUGGAACCCAAUUGAGAAGUUGCCAAGGGAACCUGCUGCCCAGGUCAUGGUCAACACAGCACAGCCAGUAGGCAUUACUAGAAAACAAAGUGGUUUUCGUGUUUAUUCUCCAAUAAAGUGAGACCUCCCAAUCUAAGCUCUAAAGCACCAACGGUGAGUUUAAGGCACAUCCAUCCUUGCCCGUAUGGGCCAAGAAUCAAGGCAGUGAGGGCCAUGGUUGGGUGCAGAGCCUCCAGUCAGUAAGAACCACUGUGAGACCUGGCACCGCUGCUAUCAGCGGUGUGGCCCCGGGCAAGCCCAAGACAGCUGUGCUUCCGUUUCCUCAUUCGUAAAGUGGAGAUGCUGCAGAGUUCUUGGGAGAAUUAUCUAAGAGAAGUGGUGUAAAGCAUUUAGCCCAUGUCUGGUAGACGGCUCAGGCCCGGCGCUCUCCUCUCACCUCCACAGUCUCCUUGGGAGACUGAACUUCUUUUCACCUCUUUCAACACCAUCGAUGGGCCCACAGCUCCCAGAGACGCAGCUCAACCCGGGUGGUCUUCCUGAGCCCACCUGCAGGCUUACAGACCCAGCGCUGACUUGACAGCUCCCUCAUGUGUCUCAUGGCAUCUCAAACAUGUCCAAAGCUUGAUCUUCUCUGGACACCUCCUAUCAAUGGAAUAGUGCAGACUGGCCUUCUGCGUCUGGCUCUUGUCGCUCAGGUGGUGUCUCCCAGAACUUUUCAUCGACCGCCUCCUGUUCUCAGGAUAAAGCGCAGCCCUCCUGACACAGCCUUCCUGGGCCCGCACCACGGGGCCUCUCACAUCACUGCCCCGCCGUCUUGCUCACCGUCUCCCCCCAGCUCACUUUUCCAGCUGCCUGGCUCGCUCUCAGUUCUGUUGGAGCUUUGUCCUGUCACACGUUUCUUCGACCUGGGAUGCUCUCCUCCCAACUUUGCCUUCCUCAGAGCAACCUUCCUGACUCCUCCAUCUAAACUACGGUGCCCCACUUUUGCUCAGAGUGCCCUGUUAUUUUGCUUUCUAGCACACGUCACAAUGUGUAAUGAAGCAGGGAGUCUAUCUGUUUAAUAUCCUGCGGGGCUGUAAGUUCCACGACGUCAGGAACCAGCUCUCUCUUCUUACCAGUCUCAUCUGUGUCCAGCCCUGUGCCUACCACAGGGCAGUUGCUCAAAAAAUACUGAUGACUGAGUGAAUGAAUGAAUGGACUUUCCAGAGCGGAAACAGUAGGAAACGGUAACUCGACUGCUUCCACUAUUAAAGCGCCUAAUCUAAAAUUGCUCAGCCCGCCGAAGCCCUCAUUUACCCUUAUCAUCACCACUAUCAUCAACAGCGACUUCCUGCUGACCUAAUGGUGGCGGCAUUGUGGCAGCCUCAGAAAAAAUCACACUUUCUGGGUAAUUCCAGUUCUCCUACAAUUUUCACUCCAGGCAGCUGGAAGCUGGAGGCUAGCAGCCAGCCCCAUGAAGAAUGACUGCUGGGCAACAGAGACCAUGGGACAUGGGACGAUUUCCUGGCUCCUAUCCUUCUGUCGGCAAAGUCACCCUUACAGCAUGCUUCUCAAGCUUCCCUGUUCACAAUGCUCUUCAAAGGCAAAGACACCUCCCUCGCAGCUCCUGCUCACCAUGCUGACAGAAAUAGAGAAUUCAAGAGAAGGAUGGCCCUGCUUUAACUGAGACACCAAAUGAGGACCAUCAUGAGUAAUUACUAAUUCACACCAGCAACAAAAACCCAGCACUAACAUUCACCCUGCCAGAGAGCAGCCUUGCGGAACACCAGGGCACCUGGACCACACUUCGAGAACAUCUCUCUAAAAGGAUUUGGGAAUUUCCUGCUAACCUCCCUGACUUUAUUAUUGUGGUCCCAGAUGAAACCCAACCCAGUUAAGUUAGAAACAUUUUUAACCAAAAGCAGAGCCAUCCCUGCUAUGCGCAGCUCACGGCUCUGCAUUGCCGCUCCACUGUCCGGGCCUUUGGUGCCUCUGUCAGCUGGCACCAUCUUCUUCCUCCUUUGAUGUGGUUCCUCAUUUGAGCAUGUCUUGGUCUGAGUGCAUCUGGAGCUAACAAACUAGGUCCAUUAGUUCUAGUGCUCCAGGGCUUAAAAACGGAGGCCACAAGUGGGCUUUGAAAAGAAUAAGAGACCACAAAUAGAGCUGUUAACAUUCUUUACCCUGGCUCACCCCCGCAGAGGAGCCCCAAGAUCCGCAGAACAUUGGGUGAUACAUUCAGCUAGUCCAUGAACAAACAUUUGCUGAGCAUUACCAAGUGCCAGGCACUGGGCUGGGGACCCAGGAUACAAUGGUGGACAAGACAGAUACAGUCUUUGUCCUGCUGGAGUUUACAGCCUAGCUGGCAAUAAGUCAACCACUAUACUACUUAGUAAUUGCUAUGACGAGGGAGAUAAAGGAUCCUUGGGAGCUCAUAGGAGGGACCACGCAUCAAGACCUGGGGAGGAAAGUCAGAGAAGGCUGCUUUGUAGAAGCAGAGAGGUGAAGGAUAAGUAGAAAUAACAAAUAAAGUGAACAGGGUGGAGUAAAAAGUGCACAGAUAGAGGGAGUACAUAUGCAAGGGACCAGCAGUAAAAGAAUUUAAGGAACUAGAAUGAAGUUUAAGCUGGGUGGCGGGGAGAAGAGUUAGGAGAGAUGAUGCUGGAAAGAUAAGAAGCAGAUCUGGCAUGGUCUUGUAAGUUACUUCAAAGAGUUUGACAUUUAUUCUAAGGGUUUUGAGGAGCCAGAACAGGAUUUGAAAUAGGGGAGGGGGAAAUUUGCAUUUUCUAAAGAUCUCUUUGACUGUGUAGGGGAGGAGGACAUUUCCUCUCCCCAAAUGUGGGUUCGUCUGGCCGGAGAACAAAUUAAAGUCACAUGAGACAGAAUAGCAAGAGAAAAUUAAACAAAGCUUUAUGAGGACCAUGGCCCGGGGCCUUUCUUCCCGAAGGAAGAAAGGGCACCAAAGAAGUGGGGUGCACACAGUGGUUAUAUACCCCCAAACAGGGUGUUUCACAUGUGAUUGAAAUGUCCCUCCCGCAAUAGUCACAAGAUUGCCCCGUCAGCACAGUGCUUGAUGGACACAGCAGGUAGUGGGUCUGCUAUCUCCGUGGGCGUAGCAGGAGGCAAGUCUGUUGUCUGGAGCUGGGCAGUCACAGGUGAGCGCAGCAAUCAGUUCCUAGCCUAAGGAAAGAUGCUUAAUCUUUAAGGAGAUGCCAACGUUGGGAGGGGGAGGGAAGUCAGUUACAGGAGGUUACCAGACUAGCACAAUAAAAUGCAGAUUUAAGUCCUUGCCUUUGGUAUUGAUUAAGAGUUUCUAGAGAGAAGGUCAUCUUCUUCCUGGUACAGAGAGGGAGGCAACUUUUACAGAUAGAGAUUUACCUUACAAAUGUAAAUGUGUCCUAACAAAGGGCAAGUUCCAUUCCUCAGAGCCUCCUUCCCUGUCCCAGUUUAUCAAAAGCAAUCAGCCUCAAAUAAUCCUGAUGCCAAAGAGACAUAUCUUGGGGUGGCCAUUUCCAGGUCCCUACAACUGCAACACAAACAAUGUGUGAGAGGGGGCAAUAAUGGUGGUGCAGACCAGCUAGGGGCUCUUCCAAAAAGCCAAGUGGGUGAUAAUUAGUAAUUGACUCAACUAGGAUAAUGAAUGGUAAUGGGUACGGAGAAAAGAGGACAGAGUUAUUUUGGAGCAAGAAGACUUGGUGACGGGAAUGAGGGGGGGUUGGAGGAAAGAGGGAUCAUGAUGACACUCUGGCUCAAGCAAGUGAACAAUCAUGUAAUUUAUGGACAUUGACAAGCCCGAGGAGGAACAGGUUUGGAAGGAAGAUAAGUCCAGUUUUGCACAUGUUGGUUUGUAGGUGUCAGAAGGACAUUCACAGGUGGUUGUCAUGUACGUAGUUGAGUCUGGAGCUCAGGAGAGAAAUCUGGGUUCUAUCACCACAUUUGGAUGCCAAGAGCAUGUAUUUGCUUUCUGAAGCUCUGAUAGUUAAUAAUCCACUCAGGGAAAGCCCUUCCUGGUGCAGGAGCAAUUAAGCAGAGCCUGAAGGACAAGUAGGAUUAACAAGUGAAGUAAAAGGGUGGGAAGGAGAAGCAUGCAAGACGAAGGAGCAACGCAUUCCAAGGCCUCGAACACAGAAAAUUUGGGCAACUACCAUCGGUUCAGUAGAGUGAGAAGAGAAGAGGUCUCCAGGUCAGAACUCCUAGGAACACCAGCAUUUAAAGAGUGGGCAGAAGAAAAUUCUGGAAAGGAAACAGACUAACUAAGAAACGGGAGAAAAACAAAGUCAAAGAAAGCGAAUAAUUCAAGAGAACAGUCAAUAGAGAACAGCUGGUGCCAGGAGGCCACGUCCCAGUGCCUGGAACAGUGUUUCAUAAACAGCUGUUGCAUGAAAAUAAGUGAAUUGCAUGAAAAAAUAUGUCCACUGAAUUUAACAACAGAGCUCAUUAGUGACCUAGAAAAAUGACUUUGGCCAGGGUGGGAACCAGGUGUGGGGGGAUGAGGAAUAUAUGUGGGGAGAGGAAGUGAAUGUGGACAACCUCUCUAAGAGGUUGGGCUAAAAUCUCAAGUCCCUACUGAGCCCUAAGGUGGCCCCUGCAUACCCCUCUAACUUCAAACACAAGCUGACCUGGCAACAUCACCCCCUUACUCAGUGUGAUUCAGUCACAUGGUCCCACUUUCAGGUCCCCUUCCAAAGUCGGGAUCCUCACGCACACCGUUCCCUCUGCCUGGAGUUCAGUUUCCCCCCACCCCAGCCCAACCCCCACCCACCCAACUCCUCAUCCUGCGAGGCUCAGCUCAAAUGGCACAUCGUCAGUGAAGGCUCUUGACUCCCCAUCUUCUCCCCCAACUCCUCAUGAGGUCGGGUUCCAUUGUUACACUCUCUUGUUGCACACAGCACUGCCCUGGGUCACUUAACACAAGUGCAAUGAAUUAUUCGUGAGGCUAUUUAAGAUUAAUUUCCCCGAUCAACUAGACCAUAAGCUUCCCAACUAGGCUAUAAGCACCCUGAGGGCAGGAACUGAAUCCCAAGACCUAAAACAGUGACUGACACAUAGUAGGCACUCAACAAAUAUUGAAUGAGUAAAUCAAUGGAUGAGUAAGUAAAGCAGUAAAAUAGUAGUUUAAGGAGCUGAGAGACCAAGGAAGGACUUUUUUUUUAAAAAAAAGGAGCGACGAAAGUUUGUUAAAAUGUUCAUGUGAAGGGGCCGGUGGAGAGAGAAAGGAGAUAAUCAAGAAACUGAAAUAAAUAGCCCAGGAGGCUGAACAGGAUGACAGCAGGUUGUGCGAACAUCAUAGGUUGUACUGAAGGGGAACAAAAUUUACCACCCCAAAGUGUGUCUGUUUAACAUUAGCAUUAUUUUAGGCUAUUUUUAAGAAACAAAAGACUCAGAAAGUUUUUCUUGUUACCUCCUUCUUAACUGCCUAAAAGAAUUCAGCUGAAAAAACCAGCCUCGGGAAACAGGCUCUCACCUUAGCAUGACAUGAACUAGGUGGUAGACAGGGAGGAACCUAGAAAAGCCUGUUUGUGGGGCUCCCCUCUGUGUUCUUGUGUUUCUUUGUGGCCAAACACUUGUUUUCCAAAGUUUGCUCCUUUUCACCUACCUGUGAAUUGUCUCCCUUCCCUUUGAAGUCUCUGACUCUCCCCACCCCCAACACCUUCUUUUAUCUUCAGCUGUGGAUGACAUUUAAGGGGAGGGCUUCCACCAUCUUGGUGAGUUACUCAGUUUUCCUGGGUUUCUCUGAUGUAUACAUGUUGUUAAACUUUUGUUUGUUUUUUGCCUGUUAAUCUGUCCCAUGACAAUUUAAUUCUUAGAUCAGCCAGAAGAAUCUAGAAGAGUAGAGGAAAAUUUCUUCCUCCUCUACAGCACUUACACAAACCUGGGUGGUACAGCCACUGCACACCUAGGCUCCAUGGUGCUAAUCUUUCAGACCACCAUCGUAUGUGCAGUCCGUUGUUGACCAAAAGGCCGUUAUGCAGCACAUGACUGUAUUUCUAAUUCCUGAUUAUUCUGUUCUAGGCGUUAUAUAUGUAUGGACUUCCCACCACAGAAGAUGAGGAUUUAGUUCUUUUUUGCCAAGUGCCUUUGCCCCUACCACACACACAAGCCCUCUUCCUGUCCCCAAUUCUUUAAGUUAUUGCACCAUCGUUUUAGAUAGAUUCGUAUCCUGCCUUUAUAUCCAUGACUAAGUAAAUGCUAGUUGCAGAUGAGCCAUGGACCAUCCUGUGAUUACUUUUCCUUGCCUGCACACAUUUUUUGUUUUGUCUGAAGUCAAUAGCUACCUUAUUUUGCUUUCUCAAGGCUAUAACAUUGUCACCACUAAUUCAACUCCAAGUUCUCCUCCUCUAGGUAUAUCUGCAUACAAUGGAGACACCCUCUGUUUCACCCCAUUGAAUAAAUCCUCCUGACCUGCUCCAGGUUGCCCUUGAUUCCAGGUGCAGAGCUGUCACCGUGGUCCUGGUGCUUCCCUUCUCCCCUCUCCCCUGUUGAGUCUUCUGUUUCCAGUCCCCCGUGUCUUCCUCCUUCUUGCUUGACACUCUCAGUUUGCAGGAGUGUAUCCUCCAGUAGCUUCCUGAGAAAGGGUGCGUGUGAAGUAAAAUGAUUGAGACCCUAUGUGACUGACAUGUCAUUCACACAUGACCAGAGGAGAAGAAAAUACAUACACUCAAUCCUCUCCAUAGAGGCAAAAACACAUUUAUAAAAUUCAACAUAAAUUCACAAUUUAAAAAGAAACUCUUAUUGAAUAAUUAUUCACAAUAGCCAAAAUGUGGAAACAACCCAAGUGGCCAUUAACAGUUGAAUGGAUUAACAAAAUGGGGUGUAUCUAUGUGAUGGAAUAUUAUUCAUCCAUAAAAAGGGGUGAAAUUCUGAUAUGUGCUACAACAUGAAUGAAUGUUGAAAACAUGCUCCAGGAAGAGAAUCCAGAAACAAAAGAACAAAUAAUGUAUGAGUCCACUUACAUUAAGUAUCUGGAAUAGGCAGAUUUAUAGAGACAGAAAGUGCUUUAGCGGUUACCAGGGCCUGGGGGGAAAGGGGAAUGGGGUGUUAUUUCUUCAUGUUUGCAGAGUUUCUUUUUGGGGUGAUGGAAAAGUUUUG